AUAGUUAAGAGUUUGAUCCUAGCUCAGGAUGAACGCUGGCGGCGUGGAUAAGGCAUGCAAGUCAAGGGGGUCCAACACUGUGUCUUUGAAGAUUCGGAAGCGAUCAGCUCCGAGGCUCGAAGAUAGAGUGUUGGGCAACCGGCAGACGAGGUAGUAAUAAGCAUGUAUCUCCCCUCGAGUCGGGCAUAGCUAGCCGAAAGGUUAGGUAAUUCCCGAUAGUCCCGGCGCAUAUUUCGGUGAAAAAUUUAUUCAUUCUUUACAUUGACAAAAAUAAACCGCCCUACCCAUGAAAGGCAAGGCGGGCGCUCCCGGCUACUAUAGUACUUGGUUUCGGCAAGAUCUUUUUUGAAACCGUUAUGGUUGCAUGUUGCGGCGGUAGAUCUUUGCCCGCAGCCUUUGCCAAGGCCAAGGCCAAAACGAACGAAAGGCUGAACCAAAUUAACAGACAAAUGAUCACAAGCAUAAGUCCUCCUACAAGUUUAAGGUUCCGGGUCAUCAUAGUAGAAUGUCAAUGUCAAGUGUGUGAAUAACUCAAAAUAAACAGUAAUUUUUCUUCGAAAUUUGCGCCCGGUAAAGUUUUUCGCUCGAGGACGAGCAUGCUCGGUAUCAGGUAGUUGGUAGGGUAACGGCCUACCAAGCCAAUGACGCCUAGGGGAGCUGAGAGGCUGACCCCCACCGAGGGCACUGAGACACGGGCCCUACACCUACGGGUGGCUGCAGUCGAGAAUCUUCCGCAAUGGGGGAAACCCUGACGGAGCGACGCCGCGUGGAGGAUGAAGUACUUCGGUACGUAAACUCCUUUUGCCGGGGACGAAGUCUAUUGACGGUACCCGGAGAAUAAGAGGUUGCUAAACUCGUGCCAGCAGCAGCGGUAAUACGAGUGCCUCGAGCGUUAUCCGGAAUCAUUGGGCGUAAAGGGUGCGUAGGCGGUUCUGUUAGUCUCGCGUAAAAUUCUUCGGCUCAACCGGGGGCUCGCGCGAGAAACGGCAGGACUUAGAGGUCGGAAAAGGUCUCUGGAACUCAUGGUGUAGCGGUGAAAUGCGUUGAUAUCAUGGGGAACACCGAAAGCGAAGGCAAGAGACUGGUCCGUUCCUGACGCUGUGGCACGAAAGCGUGGGUCGCGAAAGGGAUUAGAUACCCCUGUAGUCCACGCCCUAAACGAUGAUCUCUAGCUUUGAGGAGUAUCGACCCUCUUCGAGGCCAAGCUAACGCGAUAAGAGAUCCGCCUGGGUAGUACGAUCGCAAGAUUGAAACUCAAAGGAAUAGACGGGGACUUGCACAAGCGGUGGAACAUGUGGUUCAAUUCGACGAUAAACGAAGAACCUUACCAGGUUUAGAAAUCCAGACGAAGACUUUUGGAAACAAGAGUCGCCGUAAGGCGGCUGGACAGGUGCUGCAUGGCUGUCGUCAGUUCGUGGCUUGAGCUGUUCCCUUCAGUGGGGUAACGAACGCAACCCUCAUUGCCUGUUACAAGUGUCAGGCGAGACCGCCCAGCCCAAAGCAUUUUUCGAUGUCCGACUUCUCUGGAGAGGUCGGACCUCAGAAAAAUUCUUUGGGCUGGGAGGAAGGUGGGGAUGACGCCAAGUCAGCAUGGCCCUUUGACGACCUGGGCUACACACGUGUUACAAUCGCGGCUACAACGGGACGCAAUGGCGAUCGAAGCCGGAGCAAACCCUUAUAAAGGCCGCGCCAGUUCGGAUUGAGGUCUGCAACUCGACCUCAUGAAGCCGGAAUCGCUAGUAAUCGCGGGUCAGCUAUACCGCGGUGAAUACGUUCUCAAGUCUUGUACUCACCGCCCGUCAAGCUAAGGGAGCCGGGAAUACCCGAAGUUCCGCCUCGCGCGGACCUACGGUAAGUUCGGUGACAAGAGCUAAGUCGUAACAAGGCACGGGUAGCGGAAGCUGCUCGUGGAAUAUUUCAAGU
rnacentral:rRNA from 1 species